AUCAUAUACAAGUGUCAGAAGCCUUUUUUUAGUUAUGGCCAAGAGACAUUCUUCACUUUUCCCAAAAGUAAAUUCUUUUGGGGUCUCCCUUGUGGGCUACAAGUGUCAUUCUCAAAUUGGGUUUUGCUGUUGGCCACUUAAUAAUAAUGGGUCGGUGGCUGGCUGAAGAGCUGAACAGUAGUCAUCUGUUUUCAGCCCAAGCCAGUAGAGGAACUCACAUGGUUAUCAGCAACAGUAGCAACUUGUAAGCAGGGGCGGAACCACCCUUAAGGCUUGGGUACGCUCGAUCCCGGGCUGCCGACGGGAAGGGAAAGGACCGGGGCAAGUUAUUGGAUAUAUACGGAGCAACAAAACGAAGGGGCAGGAUGGACGGAUGAUUUGUUGUCGACACCGCCCACAUCUUCCGCCAAUCGACUUCUCUAAGAAAUAUGGUUGGUGGAUAAGCAGUUAGCGACUGUCACGCGCCGCCACCAGUUUAGAAACAAGAAGACAUUCUUAUGUCAGAGGAAGUAUGUGUUUGACUUACUAUAUGAACCAUUGCUCCAAUAAUGUAUACUCUACAGCUUAUAAAUAAUGGUGAAUUGUUUGAAGAUCACAAGAAAAUAUAGACAUAUGGUCGGAAAGUGAAUUUACUCGAAACAUUGCCAUCUUUAACUA